rnacentral:rRNA from 1 species
GACGAACGCUGGCGGCGUGCUUAACACAUGCAAGUCGAACGGAAAGGCCCUGCUUGCAGGGUACUCGAGUGGCGAACGGGUGAGUAACACGUGGGUGAUCUGCCCUGCACUUCGGGAUAAGCUUGGGAAACUGGGUCUAAUACCGGAUAGGAGCCAUCUUUAGUGUGGUGGUUGGAAAGUUUUUUCGGUGUAGGAUGAGCUCGCGGCCUAUCAGCUUGUUGGUGGGGUAAUGGCCUACCAAGGCGGCGACGGGUAGCCGGCCUGAUAGAGUGUACGGCCACAUUGGGACUGAGAUACGGCCCAGACUCCUACGGGAGGCAGCAAGGGGGAAUAUUGCACAAUGGGCGCAAGCCUGAUGCAGCGACGCCGCGUGGGGGAUGAAGGCCUUCGGGUUGUAAACUCCUUUCGCUAGGGACGAAGCUUUGUUGUGACGGUACCUAGAUAAGAAGCACCGGCUAACUACGUG